GAUGAAGAACGUAGCGAAAUGCGAUAAGUAGUGUGAAUUGCAGAUUUCAGUGAAUCAUCGAAUCUUUGAACGCACAUUGCGCCCUUUGGUAUUCCUUAGGGCAUGCCUGUUCGAGCGUCAUUUAAACCUUCAAGCUAAGCUUGGUGUUGGGUGACUGUCCGCUUCACUGCGGACUCGCCUCAAAAUUAUUGGCGGCCGGUACAUUGGCUUCGAGCGCAGCAGAAACGCGAACUCGGGCCCGUCGUAUUGGCUCCCAGAAGCUAUCUUCACAAUUUUGACCUCGGAUCAGGUAGGGAUACCCGCUGAACUUAAGCAUAUCAAUAAGCGGAGGA
rnacentral:misc_RNA from 1 species